AUCUUUUGGUUCAUAAGCACGGUAACUGGGUGUUUAUGAUUUAUGCCUGAGAUGUGCCUCCCCAAACAUUGUUAAAACAUCAGCAUAUUACCCAUCUGAUA